ensembl:lncRNA
AGAUCGCGCCAUUGCACUCCAGCCUGGGUGACAGAGUGAGACUCCGUCUCAAAAAAAAAAAAAAAAGAAGACAGGUUAUUAUGUGCUAUUUAGUAUUACCUAGAAAGGAUUACUGGCAUUGACCUUUCCCUCCUGUGAAGAUACUUCUAACAUAUAUGAAACCCAAGGGACCAGAUACUGGUUCCACUGUGAUGAGUGUCAGAAUUCUUGUAACCUCUUUUUUCCUCAUUAGUAUCUGUCAUGGUAGGUUGUUGGCUCUGACGAUGUCAUAAUGCUUUGUUUGUAGGGUCAUCCGACACUACUUUUUCCAUAGGAACAAUCAGCUUUUAGGCAAAGUGAACCUUGGACAGUAAAACCUGAUCUUCUGAGGUCAUAGAAAUAAAGACAUCUCAAAGAAAAUAUACUGGAAACUUCUUUAAGUUUUCCUCUUUCAUUGGGAUACGUGGGUUUCCUCACUGUUGUAAUGUUGAUGACACAACAGGGCUAACACCGGAUAUGCUUCUGGUUGAUUCCGGUUUACCAAGAGCAUCCAAACGUCCCUCAAGGACACAGUCAUUUUGCACAACAAAGGGAAACUCCGCUCAUUUCUGGCAUUAGGGUGGACAUCUGAGAGAGGGGAGGGUAUACCACCGUAACUUCUCUAGUGAUGAGUAGUGUUUAAUAUUAUGCCAUAGACUAACUGGCGUAUUUUAAAGAUCUUUUUCCUUUUUGAACACAUUUCAGAUUAGAGAAGUUCCAGAGAACGUAAUCUAUUUUAAGAGUGUGAAACAGUGAUAUUCUGCAUUGCUUUUAUAUCUUAAAGAAAUUUCUAAAAAGAAAGCCGAGUCAAUAAAAUGACAGAUUUUAAGCCUUCAUUCUGGUAACAUAAAAGUCUUCUACUCAUUGUGUCUGCCACCUUAAUUUUUAAAGAUAGAGCAUGAGGUGCAAGCUUUUGGCUUCCAUUUUCCUCUUAUAAACCAAUGACAUCUUCAGUUCCAGAAUAGCUUUUUUAAAACGUGACUUCUGAUAAAUGUUGGCAGAACUGGUGCAUUCCUAAAAUAAAUUAUGUAUGCUCAGCUUUCCCUACCCAAGUUCAUCCCUAACUGACCACAAAACUGCCCACCACGAAAUAGGCUUAAGAGAAGUCUGGACAUAAUGGUCUAAGUGUAUAUAACACAACACUGGUAUAUUUUUAAAAAUUCAGUAUGUUUAAAAAAAUUCAUGCCUAGGGUCAAUUCUGAUAAUCAAAUUUAGACUGCCGCAACAACCGUAACUACUGUUGAUACAUGCGAAGUUUAAAACUGAAGGGCUGGGGUAAGGGGCAGAAACUGUACACAACAAACUUCCAAAUUUUCUCUCCCCUUUCAGGCAAGUUUCAGCUCCACAAAUCUAAAUACCCUCGCCUUUAAAAUAUCAGUGUCGUUUUGCUCUUAAAUCCUCAUCCCGUUGUACAAGGAAACCUAUGUCUCUCUUCCCCAGAUUAACAAUACGAGAAGCUUUCCAGGUCUACAAGGACCAGAAAGCAGCUGCGCGGGAAGUUUCAUGGGGCCCCAAGGCUCUCAGAGUGGGCUUGACGGUAUGGAAAACACAUCCCAAGAGAAAAAUCUGUGAACCGCACAGCUGUGUUUGGAAAACCAAAACGAAAUAGAAAAAAAUCUGAGCUGAUCCGGACGGCAUCAGGAUUACGCGGUACACAAGAAGAAAACAACCGUAGCCGGGUCAAAA